AGUGAACGCUGGCGGUAGGCCUAACACGUGCAAGUCGAACGGCAGCACAGUAAGAGCUUGCUCUUACGGGUGGCGAGUGGCGGACGGGUGAGGAAUACAUCGGAAUCUACUUUUUCGUGGGGGAUAACGUAGGGAAACUUACGCUAAUAUCGCAUACGACCUACGGGUGAAAGCAGGGGAUCUUCGGACCUUGCGCGAUUGAAUGAGCCGAUGUCGGAUUAGCUAGUUGGCGGGGUAAAGGCCCACCAAGGCGGCGAUCCGUAGCUGGUCUGAGAGGAUGAUCAGCCACACUGGAACUGAAACACGGUCCAGACUCCUGCGGGAGGCAGCAGUGGGGAAUAUUGGGCAGUAGGCGCGAGCAUGAUCCAGCCAUACCACGUGGGUGGAGAAGGCCUUCGGGUUGUAAAGCCCUUUUGUUGGGAAAGAAAAGCAGCAGGUUAAUACCCCGCUGUUCUGACGGUACCCAAAGAAUAAGCACCGGCUAACUUCGUG
rnacentral:rRNA from 1 species